rnacentral:rRNA from 1 species
AACGAACGCUGGCGGCAGGCUUAACACAUGCAAGUCGAACGCCCCGCAAGGGGAGUGGCAGACGGGUGAGUAACGCGUGGGAAUCUACCCAGAACUUCGGAACAACUGAGGGAAACUUCAGCUAAUACCGGAUACGCCCUACGGGGGAAAGAUUUAUCGGUUCUGGAUGAGCCCGCGUUGGAUUAGCUAGUUGGUGAGGUAAAGGCUCACCAAGGCGACGAUCCAUAGCUGGUCUGAGAGGAUGAUCAGCCACACUGGGACUGAGACACGGCCCAGACUCCUACGGGAGGCAGCAGUGGGGAAUAUUGGACAAUGGGCGAAAGCCUGAUCCAGCCAUGCCGCGUGAGUGAUGAAGGCCUUAGGGUUGUAAAGCUCUUUCAGUAGGGAAGAUAAUGACGGUACCUACAGAAGAAGCCCGGCUAACUUCGUG